CAGGGAGACAUAAACUGAUUAUGAUGUCUGAUUUAUAAAUUUAGGCCGUAAUCCUGUCACCUUAGGUCGAUCGGUACCUCAGAUUAUUAACUGUGAAAUUGAGAAAUCAAUUAUCAUUAGUCUUUUAAUUUCAGUUCCUAAACUUGUCUAGGUCACACCCAACAAACUUUCUCCUGGGCUAUUAGCUCAGGCGGUUAGAGCGCACCCCUGAUAAGGGUGAGGUCCCUGGUUCAAGUCCAGGAUGGCCCAUUCGGUGUUGGGGGUAUAGCUCAGUUGGUAGAGCGCCUGCUUUGCAAGCAGGAUGUCAGCGGUUCGAGUCCGCUUACCUCCACUGAUCAACCUUCUGAUAGCGAAUACAAUGGAGAUAGCCUUUGUUGUUCUUGUUUUGACUUAGACUUUGUUUUGCUUGAUUGAACCUAGCUUCCUAUCAUUCCACCCAUAUAUAUUUCUGGAUUGGUUGAUAUGACGCUGGGCUCAUUGCAAUCUAAAAAGAUUGCAAGAAAGUUCGGUAGAACCUUGACAACUGCAUAGGUGAGUUUGGAAAGAAUAAAGCAUCUCAUGGAUGAAUUAUUCUCUUUUUCAAUUGGAGUAAGUCUUUAAUUUAAAGAUUGCUUGAAUUGCAAAUUGAAUAAUAUUCAAUUCUUGAGCAAGAGCCGAGACUCUAUAGCCUUAAAGCUAUAGAGAUAUAU
rnacentral:tRNA from 1 species